CAUUAAACGAGAUCACUGCUCGACCCUCAAUACGGAGCCUCAUCUUGUACUUGGGGGGAUUUAUUCGUAUGGUUUUUACUGUUUGGCUGUUUGGAGCAUUUGUAUGGUGUGGAGUAUUCGUAUGGUUCCUGUUCGGCUAAUUGGAGUGUUCGUUAGCUGCCUCUGCAUUCGGAAAGGGACAUCCUCAAUGGCUUUAACCCUUCGUAUACCUGGGGGUGCCAUUACAACUGGUGGCAAGCAGCGGGAUGGUUCUCAC